UACGAAGGGGGCUAGCGUUGCUCGGAAUCACUGGGCGUAAAGGGCGCGUAGGCGGUUCGUUAAGUCCUGUGUGAAAUCCCCCGGCUCAACUGGGGAACUGCACAGGAAACUAGCGGGCUUGAGUUCGGGAGAGGGAAGCGGAAUUCCGGGUGUAGCGGUGAAAUGCGUAGAUAUGCGGAGGAACACCGAUGGCGAAGGCAAUCCCCUGGACCUGUACUGACGCUCAUGCACGAAAGCGUGGGGGGCAAACAGG
rnacentral:rRNA from 1 species